rnacentral:rRNA from 1 species
AGCGAACGCUGGCGGCAGGCCUAACACAUGCAAGUCGAACGAAGCCUUCGGGCUUAGUGGCGGACGGGUGAGUAACACGUGGGAACGUACCUUUUGGUUCGGAACAACUCAGGGAAACUUGAGCUAAUACCGGAUGAGCCCUUAGGGGGAAAGAUUUAUCGCCGAAAGAGCGGCCCGCGUUAGAUUAGCUAGUUGGUGAGGUAAAGGCUCACCAAGGCUACGAUCUAUAGCUGGUCUGAGAGGAUGAUCAGCCACACUGGGACUGAGACACGGCCCAGACUCCUACGGGAGGCAGCAGUGGGGAAUCUUGCGCAAUGGGCGAAAGCCUGACGCAGCCAUGCCGCGUGAAUGAUGAAGGUCUUAGGAUUGUAAAAUUCUUUUACCAGGGACGAUAAUGACGGUACCUGGAGAAAAAGCCCCGGCUAACUUCGUGCCAGCCGCCGCAGUAAGAC